rnacentral:rRNA from 1 species
CAGCAGCCACGGGAAUACGUAGGGUGCAAGCGUUAAUCGGAAUUACUGGGCGUAAAGCGUGCGCAGGCGGUUUGUUAAGACAGAUGUGAAAUCCCCGGGCUCAACCUGGGAACUGCAUUUGUGACUGGCAAGCUAGAGUGUGGCAGAGGGGGGUGGAAUUCCGCGUGUAGCAGUGAGAUGCGUAGAUAUGCGGAGGAACACCGAUGGCGAAGGCAGCCCCCUGGGCCAACACUGACGCUCAUGCACGAAAGCGUGGGGAGCAAACAGGAUUAGAGACCCGAGUAGUCCCUGUCUCUUAUAC